GUAAGUUGCAAGAAAUUCUGUCAGGACAGAUUUGAGUAUGCUGUCUUGCGUGAUUUUUAGUAAAUCAUGGGUUUAUUCUUUGACUCUGAAAUAUUUAUGGUAGAUACUGGACAUACAGAGGAGUAGUUAUGUAAAAUUUCAUGACAAUUGGAUGUGUUUGGACAGCCCAUUUGUAUUUUACAAAUGGAGCAUACGCUGCUGAAAUGAGCAGUGAACAACAUAUGCUACACCUGACUUUGUGGAUUUGAUUCUCAAGUUAGGUUGUAUGUUUUGAGUUAUAAUUUAAUACUCUCAUCCUUUGGUAUGUUUGGAGCAUAUAUAAAUUUUAAGGAUUAGUUUCUGUAUGGUUUGGGUGCAUAAUGUGUUUGAUGAUUGUAUCAUGUGCUUUGGGGAAUUUUAUAUGAUAGGAAUUAAGAUUUUCUUGAGUUUGAGAGCUAGGUUGUGAUUGAAGUAUAAGUUUAUAUAUUAGGAAGAGUUUUUCCGUAAUAAGUUUUGGUUUUUCAUUUAGGUGGCGAGAACGAGAAUACAAACACUUGAGCUCCUCUUGUACAAUCUCUCGCGCCUUCUGUUUUCGAGUUCUUCUUGGAAGCAACGAGAGUAUUAGAGGUGGCAAGGAUUCUGUGUUUCUCGUUUGUUAGAAUGUAGAUUUUUGUUGUAUAGCCAUUAGCUCUUUUGUUGUAUAGAAGGAAUCAAGAUGUACUUGAUCCUUUGAGCACAAAUGUAAUUCGAUACCUUAGUUUGUUUUGAACCCCAGUUGUAUGUCUUUGGGGUUAGGUUUGUAAUAAGAGUUUUGCUAAACGUUUAGCUAUGUAAUAUUUACACAUAUACCUUAAGUUUCAGCCAGGUGGUAAUUUUCCAAGUUCAAAGGAAAUCAAAUUUCAAGGUUUCCAUCAUUUUUGUA